rnacentral:misc_RNA from 1 species
UCCGAGUUGACCCCGGCAGUCUCUCACGAGUCCCCGCCAUUACGCGCUGGCAACAUAAGAUAAGGGUUGCGCUCGUUGCGGGACUUAACCCAACAUCUCACGACACGAACUGACGACAGCCAUGCACCACCUGCACACCAGCCACAAGGGAACCGACAUCUCUGCCGGCGUCUAGUGCAUGUCAAACCCAGGUAAGGUUCUUCGCGUUGCAUCGAAUUAAUCCACAUGCUCCGCCGCUUGUGCGGGCCCCCGUCAAUUCCUUUGAGUUUUAGCCUUGCGGCCGUACUCCCCAGGCGGGGUGCUUAAUGCGUUAGCUGCGGCACGGAUCCCGUCGAUAGGGACCCACACCUAGUGCCCAUCGUUUACGGCUAGGACUAC